AUAUGACCCAUUGAAACUCCCUUAGCUGUUUGGAGGUAGGGGGUGACCUGACGUUUUCAUCACACUUGCAGGCAUUAAAUCAGUCACCAGUGGCUUCUGGCAAAGAAAUGUUUUCCUCAUGCUACAGGCUGGUAAUUACCCCUUACCCCUUGUAUAACUGAAUAAGACUUCAUGGACUAAAUUCAAUUCUGUAAGAUACAUGAAAGUAAAAACGUUUAUAUUCG